UACGUAGGGUCCGAGCGUUGUCCGGAAUUACUGGGCGUAAAGCGCGCGCAGGCGGCCCGCUAGGUGUCACGUGAAAGCCCCGGGCUCAACCCGGGAGGGUCGUGGCAAACCGGCGGGCUUGAGGCCGGUAGAGGUGGGUGGAACUCCUGGUGGAGUGGUGAAAUGCGUAGAGAUCAGGAAGAACACCCGUGGCGAAGGCGGCCCACUGGGCCGGUACUGACGCUGAGGCGCGAAGGCGUGGGGAGCGAACGGG
rnacentral:rRNA from 1 species